UAGAGACGUGCAAGGGUGUAUGGCGCCCAAAGGAACGGGCUAGGGUCCAGGGUGCAACCUGGACACCCAAGGCGAGGCGGGGGUACAAGUGACCACCUGUAAGCUCAGCAUUCGGAGGCAGAGGCAGGAGGAUGGCCAAGUUCCAGCCCAGUUGGGCAGCUUAGGAUGCGUGGCUGGACGUGCAGCUCAGCGAGAAGGCUCUGGGUUCAAACCCCAGCACCACAGAACAAGCGCCCCGGAGCCUCAGCUUUUCCUCUACCCCUCCUCUCCCCACAGCUCUGUCCUCUCCCCUCCAUCUCCCUGCUGGCCUGGGAGCAGCCAGACCCUGCGGGAGAGCGCACUCUCCUUCUACCCCACUGGCCACUGGUCCCUGCCUGCUCCUUGUCUCGCCGUGUCCUAAGCUCAUCGCCCGUCCUGAGGCCCUGCCCGGCCACCCGCCUCGGCCAGAGUCGCCUGUGGAGGUGGCAGCAGGCCGUCAGCGACUCGGCCUAGGUCAGGUCACCCCAGGCAGCAGUCCUGGCGUGUGCGGGAUGGCCCGUGGCCCAGCGGGACCGGGGCUGCAUUUCUGCAGGGUCAGGCAUGUCCCGACCAGGCCUGUGAAGCCGGGCACCGCAGCCCAGCACAGCUCUGCCUGGUGGAUCUCACCACACCCAGCUCUGACAGCGGCCGCCCUGUCCUCCUCCUUCUCCUGCUCUGGCCUCCCAGCAUUGGGAGAGCUGCUGGGCUGAGCCCCUGGAGAGGAGAGGGAAGGAGCUGUGUCCCACGCGUGCUGCCUGCCGCCUAGGGUGCGUACAGGUCUGGGGUUUGUUGAGUGAAUACCUGUUAACUGUCUUAUUUAGGUGUGGAUUUCAUGUCUCGUGCUGAGUCUGAGCAGGACCAGUGAGGACAGGGUCACUUCUUGGCAGGGCCAAAGCCAUGUGGGGAGGGAUCAGAGAGCCUCGGAGAGCAGGACCGAAUUCUGGAGCCUGGCUGCUCCUGCCUGGUGCUGGGGAGGGGCCUCAGGUCAAGAGUCUCAAGCACCUG